rnacentral:lncRNA from 1 species
UGAGGUGUAUGAGCGUCUGGUCGAUGAUCAAUGGCCACACAACCCCCAUUUUUGUCGAAAAUAGCCAUGAACGACCAUUUUCAAUAAUACCGAAGGCUAACACCUACGGAUUUUUACCAAGAAAUGGUCUCCACCAGAAAUCCAAGAAUGUGAUCUAUGGCAAGGAAACAUAUGUGGGGUGAGGUGUAUGAGCCUCUAGUCGAUGAUCAAUGGCCACACAACCCCCAUUUUUGUCGAAAAUAGCCAUGAAUGACCAUUUUCAAAAAUACCAAAGGCUAACACGUACGGAUUUUUAACCAAGAAAUGGUCUCCACCAGAAAUCCAAGAAUGUGAUCUAUGGCAAGGAAACAUAUGUGGGGUGAGGUGUAUGAGCCUCUGGUCGAUGAUCAAUGGCCACACAACCCCCAUUUUUGUCGAAAAUAGCCAUGAACGACCAUUUUCAAUAAUAUCGAAGGCUAACACCUACGGAUUUUUGACCAAGAAAUGGUCUCCACCAGAAAUCCAAGAAUGUGAUCUACGACAAGGAAACAUAUGUGGGGUGAGGUGUAUGAGCCUCUGGUCGACGAUCAAUGGCCACACAACCCCCAUUUUGCCGAAAAUAGCCAUGAAUGACCAUUUUCAAUAAUAUCGAAGGCUAACACCUACGGAUUUUUGACCAAGAAAUGGUCUCCACCAGAAAUCCAAGAAUGUGAUCUACGACAAGGAAACAUAUGUGGGGUGAGGUGUAUGAGCCUCUGGUCGACGAUCAAUGGCCACACAACCCCCAUUUUGCCGAAAAUAGCCAUGAAUGACCAUUUUCAAUAAUACCGAAGGCUAACACGUACGAGUUUUUAACCAAGAAAUGGUUUCCACCAGAAAUCCAAGAAUGUAAUCUAUGGCAAGAAACAUAUGUGGGGUGAGGUUUAUGAGCCUCUAGUCGAUGAUAAAUGGCCACACAACCCCAUUUUUUAUGAAAAUAGCCAUGAGCGACCUUGAAAAUAGCCAUGAGCGACCAUUUUCAAUAAUACUAGAGGCUAACACCUACGGAUUUUAGACCAAGAAAUGGUCUCCACCAGAAAUCCAAGAAUGUGAUCUAUGGCAAGGAAACAUAUGUGGGGUGAGGUGUAUGAGCGUCUGGUCGAUGAUCAAUGGCCACACAACCCCCAUUUUUGUCGAAAAUAGCCAUGAACGACCAUUUUCAAUAAUACCGAAGGCUAACACCUACGGAUUUUUGACCAAGAAAUGGUCUCCACCAGAAAUCCAAGAAUGUGAUCUAUGGCAAGGAAACAUAUGUGGGGUGAGGUGUAUGAGCCUCUAGUCGAUGAUCAAUGGCCACACAACCCCCAUUUUUGUCGAAAAUAGCCAUGAAUGACCAUUUUCAAAAAUACCAAAGGCUAACACGUACGGAUUUUUAACCAAGAAAUGGUCUCCACCAGAAAUCCAAGAAUGUGAUCUAUGGCAAGGAAACAUAUGUGGGGUGAGGUGUACGAGCCUCUGGUCGAUGAUCAAUGGCCACACAACCCCCAUUUUGCCGAAAAUAGCCAUGAAUGACCAUUUUCAAUAAUACCGAAGGCUAACACGUACGAGUUUUUAACCAAGAAAUGGUCUCCACCAGAAAUCCAAGAAUGUGAUCUAUGGCAAGGAAACAUAUGUGGGGUGAGGUGUAUGAGCGUCUGGUCGAUGAUCAAUGGCCACACAACCCCCAUUUUUGUCGAAAAUAGCCAUGAACGACCAUUUUCAAUAAUACCGAAGGCUAACACCUACGGAUUUUUGACCAAGAAAUGGUCUCCACCAGAAAUCCAAGAAUGUGAUCUAUGGCAAGGAAACAUAUGUGGGGUGAGGUGUAUGAGCCUCUGGUCGACGAUCAAUGGCCACACAACCCCAUUUUUGUCGAAAAUAGCCAUGAACGACCAUUUUCAAUAAUACGAAGGCUAACACCUACGGAUUUUUGACCAAGAAAUGGUCUCCACCAGAAAUCCAAGAAUGUGAUCUAUGGCAAGGAAACAUAUGUGGGUGAGGUGUAUGAGCCUCUGGUCGAUGAUCAAUGGCCACACAACCCCCAUUUUUGUCGAAAAUAGCCAUGAAUGACCAUUUUCAAUAAUACCGAAGGCUAACACCUACGGAUUUUUGACCAAGAAAUGUCUCCACCAGAAAUCCAAGAAUGUGAUCUAUGGCAAGGAAACAUAUGUGGGGUGAGGUGUAUGAGCCUCUGGUCGACGAUCAAUGGCCACACAACCCCCAUUUUGCCGAAAAUAGCCAUGAAUGACCAUUUUCAAUAAUACCGAAGGCUAACACUACGAGUUUUUAACCAAGAAAUGGUCUCCACCAGAAAUCCAAGAAUGUAAUCUAUGGCAAGGAAACAUAUGUGGGGUGAGGUUUAUGAGCCUCUAGUCGAUGAUAAAUGGCCACACAAGCCCCAUUUUUUAUGAAAAUAGCCAUGAGCGACCUUGAAAAUAGCCAUGAGCGACCAUUUUCAAUAAUACUAGAGGCUAACACCUACGGAUUUUAGACCAAGAAAUGGUCUCCACCAGAAAUCCAAGAAUGUGAUCUAUGGCAAGGAAACAUAUGUGGGGUGAGGUGUAUGAGCGUCUGGUCGAUGAUCAAUGGCCACACAACCCCCAUUUUUGUCGAAAAUAGCCAUGAAUGACCAUUUUCAAUAAUACCGAAGGCUAACACCUACGGAUUUUUGACCAAGAAAUGGUCUCCACCAGAAAUCCAAGAAUGUGAUCUAUGGCAAGGAAACAUAUGUGGGGUGAGGUGUAUGAGCC